rnacentral:rRNA from 1 species
CAUGCAGUCGAGCGGUAGAGAGAAGCUUGCUUCUCUUGAGAGCGGCGGACGGGUGAGUAAUGCCUAGGAAUCUGCCUGGUAGUGGGGGAUAACGUUCGGAAACGGACGCUAAUACCGCAUACGUCCUACGGGAGAAAGCAGGGGACCUUCGGGCCUUGCGCUAUCAGAUGAGCCUAGGUCGGAUUAGCUAGUUGGUGGGGUAAUGGCUCACCAAGGCGACGAUCCGUAACUGGUCUGAGAGGAUGAUCAGUCACACUGGAACUGAGACACGGUCCAGACUCCUACGGGAGGCAGCAGUGGGGAAUAUUGGACAAUGGGCGAAAGCCUGAUCCAGCCAUGCCGCGUGUGUGAAGAAGGUCUUCGGAUUGUAAAGCACUUUAAGUUGGGAGGAAGGGUUGUAGAUUAAUACUCUGCAAUUUUGACGUUACCGACAGAAUAAGCACCGGCUAACUCUGUGCCAGCAGCCGCGGUAAUACAGAGGGUGCAAGCGUUAAUCGGAAUUACUGGGCGUAAAGCGCGCGUAGGUGGUUUGUUAAGUUGGAUGUGAAAUCCCCGGGCUCAACCUGGGAACUGCAUUCAAAACUGACUGACUAGAGUAUGGUAGAGGGUGGUGGAAUUUCCUGUGUAGCGGUGAAAUGCGUAGAUAUAGGAAGGAACACCAGUGGCGAAGGCGACCACCUGGACUAAUACUGACACUGAGGUGCGAAAGCGUGGGGAGCAAA